rnacentral:misc_RNA from 1 species
UUUGUGCGGCCGACUAUUGGCGCCGUGUCUUGCCAUUUGUGUGAGCUAUCUUACUUUGCCUUUCAAGUGCUUGCGUGAUGUUACCUGACCUAUGGGUAUUGGUGCUUCAUACAUAGUUGCCUCGUGGUGGACGCCUUUGGGUGUGUUGCUGCGGCCAUAUGGCGAUUGUGGCGUUGCCUCGUGGUGCUGGUUCUCGUGCCUGGUGCUAUCAAGGCAGCCUCGCUCUCGUUAAUGGUUUUGGAUGUCGCUCAUGAUAUAUAUCCUCGUGGCCCAUUUGGUUGCCUCGGGGCUUGACCCUAAGAACGCUCUCCGACUUUGAGAACAUCGUUGAACGAAUGUUGCCUCUACCUUUCCACAACAAGUGGAAGGAUUACGCAGCAGACUCGAGUCCGAUCCCCAAAUAAGUCGGACGAGCAAGACCCUAAGAAUGCUCUCCGACUUUGAGAACAUCGUUGAACGAAUGUUGCCUCUACCUUUCCACAGCAAGUGGCAAGGAUUACGCAGCAUACUCGAUUCCGAUCCCCAAAUAAGACGGACGAGCUCGGCCCGCUCAACAGCGACAACCGGCCCGAUUGUUGCCUCCGCAUUGCCACGCAAGUGGUGGUGGGUGGGUGACUACCGGUGUGGA